UUUCCUACGGGACGCAGCAGUGGGGAAUAUUGCGCAAUGGGCGAAAGCCUGACGCAGCGACGCCGCGUGAGGGAUGAAGGUCUUCGGAUCGUAAACCUCUGUCAGCAGGGAAGAACGGUCACUGUGCUAAUCAGCAGUGAAUUGACGGUACCUGCAAAGGAAGCACCGGCUAACUCCGUGCCAGCAGACGCGGUAAUACGGAGGGUGCGAGCGUUAAUCGGAAUUACUGGGCGUACAGCGCUCGUAGGCGGUAUGUCAAGUAAAGGGUGAAAUCCCCACGCGCAACGUGGGAACUGCCUUUGAAA
rnacentral:rRNA from 1 species